UGGGCGUAAGAGCUCGUAGGCGGUUUGUCGCGUCUGCUGUGAAAACUGGAGGCUCAACCUCCAGCCUGCAGUGGGUACGGGCAGACUAGAGUGCGGUAGGGGAGAUUGGAAUUCCUGGUGUAGCGGUGGAAUGCGCAGAUAUCAGGAGGAACACCGAUGGCGAAGGCAGAUCUCUGGGCCGUAACUGACGCUGAGGAGCGAAAGCAUGGGGAGCGAACAGGAUUAGAUACCCUGGUAGUCCAUGCCGUAAACGUUGGGAACUAGAUGUGGGGGCCAUUCCACGGUCUCCGUGUCGCAGCUAACGCAUUAAGUUCCCCGCCUGGGGAGUACGGCCGCAAGGCUAAAACUCAAAGGAAUUGACGGGGGCCCGCACAAGCGGCGGAGCAUGCGGAUUAAUUCGAUGCAACGCGAAGAACCUUACCAAGGCUUGACAUAUACGAGAACGGGCCAGAAAUGGUCAACUCUUUGGACACUCGUAAACAGGUGGUGCAUGGUUGUCGUCAGCUCGUGUCGUGAGAUGUUGGGUUAAGUCCCGCAACGAGCGCAACCCUCGUUCUAUGUUGCCAGCACGUUAUGGUGGGAACUCAUAGGAGACUGCCGGGGUCAACUCGGAGGAAGGUGGGGAUGACGUCAAAUCAUCAUGCCCCUUAUGUCUUGGGCUUCACGCAUGCUACAAUGGCCGGUACAAAGGGCUGCAAUACCGUAAGGUGGAGCGAAUCCCAAAAAGCCGGUCUCAGUUCGGAUUGAGGUCUGCAACUCGACCUCAUGAAGUCGGAGUCGCUAGUAAUCGCAGAUCAGCAACGCUGCGGUGAAUACGUUCCCGGGCCUUGUACACACCGCCCGUCAAGUCAUGAAAGUCGGUAACACCCAACGCCAGUGGCCUAACCCCUUGUGGGAGGGAGCUGUCUAAGUGGGAUCGGUGA
rnacentral:rRNA from 1 species